rnacentral:rRNA from 1 species
ACACAUGCAAGUCGAACGAUGAAGCCUUUCGGGGCUGGAUUAGUGGCGAACGGGUGAGUAACACGUGGGCAAUCUGCCCUUCACUCUGGGACAAGCCCUGGAAACGGGGUCUAAUACCGGAUAACACUCUGUCCCGCAUGGGACGGGGUUAAAAGCUCCGGCGGUGAAGGAUGAGCCCGCGGCCUAUCAGCUUGUUGGUGGGGUGAUGGCCUACCAAGGCGACGACGGGUAGCCGGCCUGAGAGGGCGACCGGCCACACUGGGACUGAAACACGGCCCAGACUCCUACGGGAGGCAGCAGUGGGGAAUAUUGCACAAUGGGCGAAAGCCUGAUGCACCGACGCCGCGUGAGGGAUGACGGCCUUCGGGUUGUAAACCUCUUUCAGCAGGGAACAAGCGAAAGUGACGGUACCUGCACAAGAAGCGCCGGCUAACUACGUGCCAGCAGCCGCGGUAAUACGUAUGGCGCAAGCGUUGUCCGGAAUUAUUUGGGCGUAAAGAGCUCGUAGGCGGCUUGUCACGUCGGAUGUGAAAGCCCGGGGCUUAACCCCGGGUCUGCAUUCGAUACGGGCUAGCUAGAGUGUGGUAGGGGAGAUCGGAAUUCCUGGUGUAGCGGUGAAAUGCGCAGAUAUCAGGAGGAACACCGGUGGCGAAGGCGGAUCUCUGGGCCAUUACUGACGCUGAGGAGCGAAAGCGUGGGGAGCGAACAGGAUUAGAUACCCUGGUAGUCCACGCCGUAAACGUUGGGAACUAGGUGUUGGCGACAUUCCACGUCGUCGGUGCCGCAGCUAACGCAUUAAGUUCCCCGCCUGGGGAGUACGGCCGCAAGGCUAAAACUCAAAGGAAUUGACGGGGGCCCGCACAAGCAGCGGAGCAUGUGGCUUAAUUCGACGCAACGCGAAGAACCUUACCAAGGCUUGACAUAUACCGGAAAGCAUCAGAGAUGGUGCCCCCCUUGUGGUCGGUAUACAGGUGGUGCAUGGCUGUCGUCAGCUCGUGUCGUGAGAUGUUGGGUUAAGUCCCGCAACGAGCGCAACCCUUGUUUCUGUGUUGCCAGCAUGCCCUUCGGGGUGAUGGGGACUCACAGGAGACUGCCGGGGUCAACUCGGAGGAAGGUGGGGACGACGUCAACUCAUCAUACCCCUUAUGUCUUUUUUAUGCACACCUCUUACAAUAACCGCUACAAUUAGAUGAGAAAUAGACAAGAACCGAGCGAAAUGUCGAAAAAUCCGUUCUCAUUUCCGAUUGGGGUCUUCAACUCGACCCCAUGAAAUCGAAGUUAAUAGUAAUCACAGAUCAAGCAUUCUCUUCGCUUAAUACGUUCCCGGCCCUUAUACACACCGCCCAUCACUUCACGAAAGUCUGUAACACCCGAAACCUCUGUCCCAACCUCCUUGUGGGAGAGAGCU